rnacentral:rRNA from 1 species
GCAGCAGUGGGGAAUCUUAGACAAUGGGCGCAAGCCUGAUCUAGCCAUGCCGCGUGAGUGACGAAGGCCUUAGGGUCGUAAAGCUCUUUCGCCUGUGAUGAUAAUGACAGUAGCAGGUAAAGAAACCCCGGCUAACUCCGUGCCAGCAGCCGCGGUAAUACGGAGGGGGUUAGCGUUGUUCGGAAUUACUGGGCGUAAAGCGCACGUAGGCGGAUCAGAAAGUUGGGGGUGAAAUCCCGGGGCUCAACCCCGGAACUGCCUCCAAAACUACUGGUCUAGAGUUCGAGAGAGGUGAGUGGAAUUCCGAGUGUAGAGGUGAAAUUCGUAGAUAUUCGGAGGAACACCAGUGGCGAAGGCGGCUCACUGGCUCGACACUGACGCUGAGGUGCGAAAGUGUGGGGAGCAAACAGGAUUAGAUACCCU